rnacentral:rRNA from 1 species
CAGUCGCCGCGGUAAGACGGAGGGUGCUAGCGUUGUUCGGAAUCACUGGGCGUAAAGGGCGCGUAGGCGGCCUGUUAAGUCGGAUUUGAAAGCCCGGGGCUCAACCCCGGAACUGCAUCCGAGACUGGCAGGCUUGAGACCGGGAGAGGAGGGUGGAAUAUCCAGUGUAGAGGUGAAAUUCGUAGAUAUUGGAUGGAACACCGGUGGCGAAAGCGGCUCUCUGGCCCGGAUCUGACGCUGAGGCGCGAAAGCGUGGGGAGCAAACAGGAUUAGAUACCCCCGUAGUCCCUGUCUCUUAUAC